rnacentral:rRNA from 1 species
GAUGAACGCUGGCGGCGUGCCUAACACAUGCAAGUCGAACGGAGCCAGCCCCUUCGGGGACUGACUUAGUGGCGAACGGGUGAGUAACGCGUGAGAAACCUGCCUUUCAGUGGGGGACAACAGUUGGAAACGACUGCUAAUACCGCAUAAUGUCAUUUGGGGGCAUCCUCGAAUGACCAAAGAUUUAUUGCUGAAAGAUGGUCUCGCGUCUGAUUAGCUAGAUGGCGGGGUAACGGCCCACCAAGUCUACGAUCAGUAGCCGGACUGAGAGGUUGAACGGCCACAUUGGAACUGAGAUACGGUCCAGACUCCUACGGGAGGCAGCAGUGGGGAAUAUUGCACAAUGGGGGAAACCCUGAUGCAGCGACGCCGCGUGAGUGAAGAAGUAUUUCGGUAUGUAAAGCUCUAUCAGCAGGGAAGAAAAUGACGGUACCUGACUAAGAAGCCCCGGCCAACUACGUG